UACAGAGGGCCCAAGCGUUGUUCGGAUUCAUUGGGCGUAAAGGGUGUGUAGGUGGCGCCGUAAGUCGGGUGUGAAAUCUCGGGGCUUAACUCCGAAACUGCAUUCGAUACUGCGGUGCUUGAGGACUGGAGAGGAGACUGGAAUUUACGGUGUAGCGGUGAAAUGCGUAGAUAUCGUAAGGAAGACCAGUGGCGAAGGCGGGUCUCUGGACAGUUCCUGACGCUGAGGCACGAAGGUCAGGGGAGCAAACGGG
rnacentral:rRNA from 1 species